GGGGGGGACAGAAUAGAAACAACUCUUGAGGAAGAAAAUUCAAGAGAAAUUCAUCGGUUACCAAAAAACGAAGCGAUCUGAGGUAUAGGUGGUGAGCCCUCUAGUAAGGGUAAGGAUAUCGUACCUGAGGACCAGGAGUAGGAGUACUCUCGUUAUGUAAUUGUUGCUCACAAGGGAGGCGGAGAACUGAUGCUAGAGCCUUGCCAGGUUUUGGUUGACAUUCCCGAUAAGGUAUGUCUAUCGGGACAUCGCGGCAGUUGUCAUGGGCUCGAAAAG